CGCUAGAGCCCCCCCAAGGCGGCCAUCUUGAUUAAGGGCAGAGGGCACCGGUAUCCCGCUGGGAGACUUUGGGAAGUGACAAGGGCUUGCCUCUCCUGCCUCAAUCUCCGCAUCUGGAUGAAGGGCUUGGACCAGAACCCCUCCAAGCCCCUUCCCUGGACCACUCUGCUGGAGUUUCACUCUUGUCGCCCAGGCUGGAGUACAGUGGUGCU
rnacentral:lncRNA from 1 species